AACGAACGCUGGCGGCAUGCCUAACACAUGCAAGUCGAACGAGGCCUUCGGGUCUAGUGGCGCACGGGUGCGUAACGCGUGGGAAUCUACCCUUGGGUUCGGAAUAACUCAGAGAAAUUUGAGCUAAUACCGGAUGAUGUCGCAAGACCAAAGAUUUAUCGCCCAAGGAUGAGCCCGCGUAGGAUUAGCUUGUUGGUGAGGUAAAAGCUCACCAAGGCGACGAUCCUUAGCUGGUCUGAGAGGAUGAUCAGCCACACUGGGACUGAGACACGGCCCAGACUCCUGCGGGAGGCAGCAGUGGGGAAUAUUGGACAAUGGGCGCAAGCCUGAUCCAGCCACGCCGCGUGAGUGAUGA
rnacentral:rRNA from 1 species